GACCAACUAAGUUAGUUCUUGGUAUGAGCUUUCGUGUGCAUGCACACUUCUUCACAUACCUGAAGAAGUAUCUGAAGAAAUGUGCAUGCACACGAAAGCUCAUACCAAGAACUAACUUAGUUGG
rnacentral:miRNA from 1 species